CACUCCUGCGGGAGGCAGCAGUGGGGAAUUUUGGACAAUGGGCGAAAGCCUGAUCCAGCAAUGCCGCGUGAGUGAAGAAGGCCUUCGGGUUGUAAAGCUCUUUUGUCAGGGAAGAAACGGUGAAAGCUAAUAUCUUUUGCUAAUGACGGUACCUGAAGAAUAAGCACCGGCUAACUACGUGCCAGCAGCCGCGGUAAUACGUAGGGUGCAAGCGUUAAUCGGAAUUACUGGGCGUAAAGCGUGCGCAGGCGGUUUUGUAAGUCUGAUGUGAAAUCCCCGGGCUCAACCUGGGAAUUGCAUUGGAGACUGCAAGGCUAGAAUCUGGCAGAGGGGGGUAGAAUUCCACGUGUAGCAGUGAAAUGCGUAGAUAUGUGGAGGAACACCGAUGGCGAAGGCAGCCCCCUGGGUCAAGAUUGACGCUCAUGCACGAAAGCGUGGGGAGCAAACAGGAUUAGAAACCCCGGUAGUCCCA
rnacentral:rRNA from 1 species